rnacentral:rRNA from 1 species
UACGUAGGGGGCAAGCGUUGUCCGGAAUCAUUGGGCGUAAAGCGCGUGUAGGCGGUCCGGUAAGUCGGCUGUGAAAGUCCAGGGCUCAACCCUGGGAUGCCGGUCGAUACUGCCGGACUAGAGUUCGGAAGAGGCGAGUGGAAUUCCCGGUGUAGCGGUGAAAUGCGCAGAUAUCGGGAGGAACACCUAUGGCGAAGGCAGCUCGCUGGGACGUUACUGACGCUGAGACGCGAAAGAGUGGGGAGCAAACAGG